ACCUGACUGGCUCAGUAAGAAUAGCAUGUGACUCUUGAUCCCAAGGUCAUGAGUUCGACACAUGUUGGGUG
rnacentral:tRNA from 1 species